rnacentral:rRNA from 1 species
UACGGAGGGUCCGAGCGUUAUCCGGAAUUAUUGGGUUUAAAGGGUCCGUAGGCGGGCCGGUAAGUCAGGGGUGAAAGUCUGUAGCUCAACUAUAGAAUUGCCUUUGAUACUGCUGGUCUUGAGUUAUGGUGAAGUUGGCGGAAUAUGUAGUGUAGCGGUGAAAUGCAUAGAUAUUACAUAGAACACCGAUUGCGAAGGCAGCUGGCUAACCAUAUACUGACGCUGAUGGACGAAAGCGUGGGGAGCGAACAGG